AGCAGUCGCCGCGGUAAUACAGAGGGUGCGAGCGUUAAUCGGAUUUACUGGGCGUAAAGCGUGCGUAGGCGGCUAAUUGAGUCGGAUGUGAAAUCCCCGAGCUUAACUUGGGAAUUGCAUUCGAUACUGGUUAGCUAGAGUGUGGGAGAGGAUGGUAGAAUUCCAGGUGUAGCGGUGAAAUGCGUAGAGAUCUGGAGGAAUACCGAUGGCGAAGGCAGCCAUCUGGCCUAACACUGACGCUGAGGUACGAAAGCAUGGGGAGCAAACAGGAUUAGAUACCCCCGUAGUCCCUGUCUCUUAUAA
rnacentral:rRNA from 1 species